rnacentral:rRNA from 1 species
AGCGGCGGAUGGGUGAGUAACACGUGGGGAACCUGCCCCUAAGUCUGGGAUACCAUUUGGAAACAGGUGCUAAUACCGGAUAAUAAAGCAGAUCGCAUGAUCAGCUUUUGAAAGGCGGCGUAAGCUGUCGCUAAGGGAUGGCCCCGCGGUGCAUUAGCUAGUUGGUAAGGUAACGGCUUACCAAGGCGACGAUGCAUAGCCGAGUUGAGAGACUGAUCGGCCACAUUGGGACUGAGACACGGCCCAAACUCCUACGGGAGGCAGCAGUAGGGAAUCUUCCACAAUGGACGCAAGUCUGAUGGAGCAACGCCGCGUGAGUGGAGAAGGUUUUCGGAUCGUAAAGCUCUGUUGUUGGUGAAGAAGGAUAGAGGUAGUAACUGGCCUUUAUUUGACGGUAAUCAACCAGAAAGUCACGGCUAACUACGUGCCAGCAGCCGCGGUAAUACGUAGGUGGCAAGCGUUGUCCGGAUUUAUUGGGCGUAAAGCGAGCGCAGGCGGAAAAAUAAGUCUAAUGUGAAAGCCCUCGGCUUAACCGAGGAACUGCAUCGGAAACUGUUUUUCUUGAGUGCAGAAGAGGAGAGUGGAACUCCAUGUGUAGCGGUGGAAUGCGUAGAUAUAUGGAAGAACACCAGUAGCGAAAGGCGGCUCUCUGGUCUGCAACUGACGCUGAGGCUCGAAAGCAUGGGUAGCGAACAGGAUUAGACACCCUGGUAGUCCAUGCCGUAAACGAUGAGUGCUAAGUGU